UACGUAGGGUGCAAGCGUUAUCCGGAAUUAUUGGGCGUAAAGAGCUCGUAGGCGGUUUGUCGCGUCGGCUGUGAAAACCCGGGGCUCAACCCCGGGCCUGCAGUCGAUACGGGCAGACUAGAGUGCGGUAGGGGAGACUGGAAUUCCUGGUGUAGCGGUGAAAUGCGCAGAUAUCAGGAGGAACACCGGUGGCGAAGGCGGGUCUCUGGGCCGUAACUGACGCUGAGGAGCGAAAGCGUGGGGAGCGAACAGG
rnacentral:rRNA from 1 species